rnacentral:ncRNA from 1 species
GUUAAGUCGUAAAUUUGUUGCGACCCGGUUCCGCGAGGAACCGGUAAAAAUCCGCUAUAUGCUGGAAACACCCGAUAGCAUCCCGCGCCGGCAACGGCACGGGUGGGGUCAAUCAGCAGGGAAGUCGUUCACCGGAAAGGACGUCUGCGACGCCUUAAAAGUGAAUUGACCCCUCAGAGACUACACGCGGACUCUCGAGUGAUAUGGUGCAUGUCUAAAGCCUAUCUUUUAGGCGCGCUUCACGACGGUUGCGCUACCAAGUACACGUAUAGGAUAUCCCAAAAGCACGAGGAUUACGUCAAGCAAUUGGCUGAACUCGUAAAGCAAACGGGGUAUUCCGCGUGGACUUACAGGGAGGGCAGCCGAAACGUGUUCGUCGUGGAAUUCUCCAAGGCGAGCCUGUCCGGAUUCGAAAUAACAACGAAUCAGGACAAGCUGGAUUACGCCGCGGGGUAUUUCGACGCCGAAGGAAGCGUGCCGGUAAAGGAAGACGCAAGGGCGUACGUUUACUUCUGCCAAAAAAACCGAGAGGAUUUGGAGGAAGUGAAGGCGUUCUUGGAAGAGGCGGGAAUUUGCUGCGGUAAAACGCACAACCCGAGCGCACGAAAGGACCCGGAUUAUUGGAGGUUCUUCGUGAGUUCGAAGUCCCGCUCCGACUUUGCCAAAAAGAUUGGCUCGAGGCAUCCCGUAAAACGAAAGAUUCUCGAGAAGAUGAUAUAGUCCACGCCGCAUGGCGACAUGCAG